CGCGGGGCGGAGAGACGCGGCCGCCUCGGCCUCGACGCCAGCCCAGGCGCCGACCUCCGAUUCUCCGGUCGCCGAGGACGCCUCCCGGAGGCGGCCGUGCCGGGCCUGCGUCGACUUCAAGACGUGGAUGCGGACGCAGCAGAAGGUGCAGAUCCCUGCCUGAUUUCUCCCAGCCCCGCGCAGCCCCUGCCCCCGCCCCCGCCCAGGUGCCCCGGCAGAGCUCCCCAGGGUUGCCUGUCCCUGAACCUUGCCCCCCGGGUAGGCCCGGCCUUACAGCCUUCAUCCGCGCGUGGGUUGGAUCGUCUGCAGCACUUUGGCCGGAGUCCAGUGGGCCACCGGCUGGGCCGUACAGGGGGGAGCUUUGGGCGCUUUUGUUCGGAGAAUGAACUCACUCUCGGUCGGCCUGCUUCCGCAGCGGGACACCAAGUUUAGGGAGGACUGCCCACCGGAUCGCGAGGAACUGGGCCGCCACAGCUGGGCUGUCCUCCACACCCUGGCCGCCUACUACCCCGACCUGCCCACCCCAGAACAGCAGCAAGACAUGGCCCAGUUCAUACAUUUAUUUUCUAAGUUUUACCCCUGUGAGGAGUGUGCCGAAGACCUAAGGAAAAGGCUGUGCAGGAACCAGCCAGACACCCGCACCCGGGCAUGCUUCACACAGUGGCUAUGCCACCUGCACAAUGAAGUGAACCGCAAGCUGGGCAAGCCUGACUUCGACUGCUCAAAAGUGGAUGAGCGCUGGCGCGACGGCUGGAAGGAUGGCUCCUGUGACUAGAGGGUGGUCAGCCAGAGCCCAUGGGACAGCUAGCCAGGCAUGGUUGGAUAGGGGCAGGGCACUCAUUAAAGUGCAUCACAGCCAGAGCCUGUUCUGUCUCAGUUGGGUGGUCCCCAGGACACUGCCCCUGGGGACCUGCCCUGCCCCUCUUAGGUUUGGAGCAGAAGUGGAGGUGCCCACAGCAGGCACCCACUGGCCUCUUCCUCAGUGGAGGCCCCAAGGAGCUGCAGCUGAACUGCAGAUGAGGGAAGGAGGAGCAGCCUGGGCUGCCCCUUGACAUUCAGGAUGUGGCUUCCUGCCCACCGCAUACCCUGGCGCCUCACUCCUCACACGGGAAGACAGUGGGCCCUGGCUGGGCGUCCCUGUGCCUGUCCCUGGCGGCCAGGCCAUUGCCUUCCCACUAUGCAGCCAGGGAUGCCCCUGCCCCCCGUGGCUCUGUGCUGCUCACUUUAGGGGCUCAAUUCUCCGCUCUGCUCAGUCCCUACAGGGAAAGCUCAGGUCGGGUCUUUCUGAGGGUCCACCAGCCAUCCUAUCCUCUCCCUGCCUGGCACACGCCUGCCAGCGUUGUCAUGCCUGUCCACAGGGGAU
rnacentral:sRNA from 1 species